AACGAACGCUGGCGGCAUGCCUAACACAUGCAAGUCGAACGAGAUCUUCGGGUCUAGUGGCGCACGGGUGCGUAACGCGUGGGAAUCUGCCCUCAGGUUCGGAAUAACCAUUGGAAACGAUGGCUAAUACCGGAUGAUGACGUUAAGUCCAAAGAUUUAUCGCCUGAGGAUGAGCCCGCGUAGGAUUAGCUAGUUGGUGUGGUAAAGGCGCACCAAGGCGACGAUCCUUAGCUGGUCUGAGAGGAUAAUCAGCCACACUGGGACUGAGACACGGCCCAGACUCCUACGGGAGGCAGCAGUGGGGAAUAUUGGACAAUGGGCGAAAGCCUGAUCCAGCAAUGCCGCGUGAGUGAUGAAGGCCUUAGGGUUGUAAAGCUCUUUUACCCGGGAUGAUAAUGACAGUACCGGGAGAAUAAGCUCCGGCUAACUCCGUG
rnacentral:rRNA from 1 species